GGCAGCAUGGUCUUAGCUUGCUAAGACUGAUGGCGACCGGCGCACGGGUGCGUAACGCGUAUGCAACUUGCCUCACAGAGGGGGAUAACCCGUCGAAAGACGGACUAAUACCGCGUACACUCUAUGUUGGGCAUCCAAUGUAGAGGAAAUGAAMUUCGCUGUGAGAUAGGCAUGCGUCCCAUUAGCUAGUUGGUGAGGUAACGGCUCACCAAGGCGACGAUGGGUAGGGGAACUGAGAGGUUGAACCCCCACACUGGUACUGAGACACGGACCAGACUCCUACGGGAGGCAGCAGUGAGGAAUAUUGGUCAAUGGGCGAGAGCCUGAACCAGCCAAGUCGCGUGAAGGAUGACUGUCUUAUGGAUUGUAAACUUCUUUUAUACGGGAAUAACAAGAGUCACGUGUGACUCCCUGCAUGUACCGUAUGAAUAAGCAUCGGCUAACUCCGUGCCAGCAGCCGCGGUAAUACGGAGGAUGCGAGCGUUAUCCGGAUUUAUUGGGUUUAAAGGGUGCGUAGGCGGCCUGUUAAGUCAGCGGUGAAAUCUAGGAGCUUAACUCCUAAAUUGCCAUUGAUACUGGCGAUCUUGAGUGCAGACAGGGAUGCCGGAAUUCGUGGUGUAGCGGUGAAAUGCUU
rnacentral:rRNA from 1 species